UUUUAAGUUAGUGGUAGAGUGAUGCUGUGGUAAAACAUAAGUUAUCGGUUCGAAUCUGAUA
rnacentral:tRNA from 1 species